AGUUUUCCCCAAGGCCAUCGGUGAACUCCAUGGUCACUCUGGUAUAGCUAGGCUGUUGCUUUUCUAUGCUCGUGGCCUAUUUGGGCUUGUUGAUCCAAGCCAUGGCACUGGAGUUGCUAACGCUGGACUUGUUUGUUUUAAUGGUCAUCUCCUUGCUAUGUCCGAAGAUGAUUUGCCUUACCAUGUUCGUGUUACUCCAUCUGGGGACUUGGAAACUGUUGGUAGAUAUGAUUUUGAUGGUCAGUUAAAAUCAACAAUGAUUGCUCACCCCAAGGUUGAUCCUGAAACCGGUGAAUUCUUUGCUCUUAGCUAUGAUGUCAUCCAAAAGCCAUAUCUUAAGUACUUCCGUUUUUCACCCGAUGGUAAGAAAUCACCUGAUGUUGAUAUCCCAGUAGACGGUCCGACAAUGAUCCACGAUUUCGCCAUCACCGAGAACUUGGUGGUGAUUCCUGACCAGCAAGUGGUGUUCAAAUUGCCUGAAAUGAUUCACGGUGGUUCCCCAGUUGUAUAUGACAAGAACAAGAUGUCAAGGUUUGGGAUUUUGGACAAGAAUGCCACUGAUGCUUCUGGGAUUACAUGGGUUGAGGCACCUGAUUGCUUUUGUUUCCAUCUUUGGAAUGCUUGGGAAGAGCCAGAAACUGAUGAAGUUGUUGUGAUUGGCUC
rnacentral:lncRNA from 1 species